UGGGAGAUCAUCUAAUGGUAGGAUAGGUGCCUCUGAAGCAUCUUAUCUAGGUUCGAAUCCUAGUCUCCCAGCCA
rnacentral:tRNA from 1 species